rnacentral:rRNA from 1 species
AGGACGAACGCUGGCGGCGUGCUUAACACAUGCAAGUCGAGCGGUAAGGCCUUUCGGGGUACACGAGCGGCGAACGGGUGAGUAACACGUGGGUGAUCUGCCCUGCACUCUGGGAUAAGCCUGGGAAACUGGGUCUAAUACCGGAUAUGACCUGCUCUCGCAUGGGGGUGGGUGGAAAGAUUUAUCGGUGCAGGAUGGGCCCGCGGCCUAUCAGCUUGUUGGUGGGGUAAUGGCCUACCAAGGCGACGACGGGUAGCCGACCUGAGAGGGUGACCGGCCACACUGGGACUGAGACACGGCCCAGACUCCUACGGGAGGCAGCAGUGGGGAAUAUUGCACAAUGGGCGAAAGCCUGAUGCAGCGACGCCGCGUGAGGGAUGAAGGCCUUCGGGUUGUAAACCUCUUUCAGCAGGACGAAGCGCAAGUGACGGUACCUGCGAGAAGAAGCACCGGCUAAACUACGUGCCAAGCAAGCCGC